rnacentral:rRNA from 1 species
GUGGGGAAUCUUGCGCAAUGGGCGAAAGCCUGACGCAGCCAUGCCGCGUGGAUGAUGAAGGUCUUAGGAUUGUAAAAUCCUUUCACCGGUGAAGAUAAUGACUGUAGCCGGAGAAGAAGCCCCGGCUAACUUCGUGCCAGCAGCCGCGGUAAUACGAAGGGGGCUAGCGUUGCUCGGAUUUACUGGGCGUAAAGGGCGCGUAGGCGGACAUUUAAGUCAGGGGUGAAAUCCCGGGGCUCAACCUCGGAACUGCCUUUGAUACUGGGUGUCUUGAGUAUGAGAGAGGUGUGUGGAACUCCGAGUGUAGAGGUGAAAUUCGUAGAUAUUCGGAAGAACACCAGUGGCGAAGGCGACUCACUGGCCCAAUACUGACGCUGAGGCGCGAAAGCGUGGGGAGCAAACAGGAUUAGAAACCCCUGUAGUCC